UACGAAGGGUGCAAGCGUUACUCGGAAUUACUGGGCGUAAAGCGUGCGUAGGUGGUGAGUUAAGUCUGUCGUGAAAGCCCCCGGGCUCAACCUGGGAAUGGGCAUUUGGGACUGCAAGGCUGGAGUGCGGCAGAGGAGACUGGAAUUCCUGGUGUAGCAGUGAAAUGCGUAGAUAUCAGGAGGAAUACCGAGUGCGAAGGCAGGUCUCUGGGCUGACACUGACGCUCAUGCACGAAAGCGUGGGGAGCAAACAGG
rnacentral:rRNA from 1 species